UACGGAGGGUGCAAGCGUUAAUCGGAAUUACUGGGCGUAAAGCGCGCGUAGGCGGUUUGAUCAGUUGGAUGUGAAAGCCCCGGGCUUAACCUGGGAACUGCAUUCAAUACUGUCAAACUAGAGUACGAGAGAGGGGGGUAGAAUUUCUAGUGUAGCGGUGAAAUGCGUAGAUAUUAGAAGGAAUACCAGUGGCGAAGGCGGCCCCCUGGCUCGAUACUGACGCUGAGGUGCGAAAGCGUGGGGAGCAAACAGG
rnacentral:rRNA from 1 species